rnacentral:rRNA from 1 species
UACGUAGGGGGCAAGCGUUAUCCGGAAUUACUGGGUGUAAAGGGAGAGUAGGCGGCAUGGUAAGUUAGAUGUGAAAGCCCGAGGCUUAACCUCGGGAUUGCAUUUAAAACUAUCAAGCUAGAGUACAGGAGAGGUAAGUGGAAUUCCUAGUGUAGCGGUGAAAUGCGUAGAUAUUAGGAAGAACACCAGUGGCGAAGGCGACUUACUGGACUGAAACUGACGCUGAGGCUCGAAAGCGUGGGGAGCGAACAGGAUUAGAUACCCUGGUAGUCCACGCCGUAAACGAUGAGUGCUAGGUGUCGGGGGGGAACCCUCGGUGCCGCAGCUAACGCAAUAAGCACUCCACCCGGGGAGUACGAUCGCAAGAUUGAA